AUUGAACGCUGGCGGCAUGCCUUACACAUGCAAGUCGAACGGCAGCGGGGGAGAAGCUUGCUUUUCCUGCCGGCGAGUGGCGAACGGGUGAGUAAUACAUCGGAACGUGCCCUGUAGUGGGGGAUAACUAGUCGAAAGAUUAGCUAAUACCGCGUACGACCUGAGGGUGAAAGUGGGGGACCGCAAGGCCUCAUGCUAUAGGAGCGGCCGAUGUCUGAUUAGCUAGUUGGUGGGGUAAAGGCCUACCAAGGCGACGAUCAGUAGCUGGUCUGAGAGGACGAUCAGCCACACUGGGACUGAGACACGGCCCAGACUCCUACGGGAGGCAGCAGUGGGGAAUUUUGGACAAUGGGCGAAAGCCUGAUCCAGCAAUGCCACGUGUGUGAAGAAGGCCUUCGGGUUGUAAAGCACUUUUGUCCGGAAAGAAAUGGCUCUGGUUAAUACCUGGGGUCGAUGACGGUACCGGAAGAAUAAGGACCGGCUAACUACGUGCCAGCCGCCGCAGUAA
rnacentral:rRNA from 1 species